AUAGUGUAUGUUCUCAUUAACUUUUGUGUCUCUGAUUUUUAGUUCAUGGCUGAACAUUUUUCUUUGAAUUUCCUAUGAAGAAAAAGAUGGAUCUAGACCACUUUAAAUAUGCCUGUUGGUCUGGAUGGGCUUAGCUCCAUCUGUUAACCAUCAGAUCACCAAAUAAAACCAGCUGACCGAGUCAGAGGAAGAGUUUGACGGCUAGUCAUCUAAACGAGCAGUAAGCAGAUAUGAGAACGACUUUUAAGACCGAGGCUCUUGAGAAAGUAAAAUGAAUCACGCCGGCGGAGGACAAAAGCUCAAUGGGUUUUGGGAGAAAUUGAGAAACAGCCCACGAGAUGCGAACAAUGUGAACAUGCACUGGAUGAUUGCUCCCCAUAUAAGAGAACAAAGCAAAAUCACAAAACCUAAUUGAAAGUGUUGUAUCUCUUUUCAAGGCAAUGAAGCAGCUGAUUAGAAAGAUAAUUGAGCUGGGAGACGAGAUCUGGCGGGGGACUUUGGUGCUAGUCAUGCAUUUGGCAGUAUCGAAAACUGGAGUGCUGGCAUGACGCAAAAACAGAUUGCAUGAGAAGACUUCAUCUGGGACUUCAGCAUAAGACUCUGUGUGCUGUCUGUGUGCAUUUGCAUAUUCUUCCCAAGCUGGAAGCACGUUCUGCUGUCCUGCGUGUGAUUUUGGCGAUCCAACACUCACCCCUUUGUGUCAAAGAAUUGUGCUCCACAAAGAAUCUUCCAAGAUCAACGUAGUCUUUAAUUAUUUUCUAGCAUCCUUUGAGAGCUUUGUAAGUCAAGUGUCGGUUAAUGAGGUGUUUUAUGCAUCAUUCCAUCUACAUAAUAUUUUUUUGCAGCUUAAUUAGUUCCGGAAGCUUAUUUUCACCAUUGAAUAUAAAGAAUGUAAUUCUGACUCACAAUUCUGUUGUUUUCUCUUGCAAUUCAGACUUGUAUUCUCGCAAGUCGGAAUUUCUAGAAAAAAAGUCAGUAUUGCGAGACUUUAAUUAUGAGUUUAUGUGUUUAAC
ensembl:lncRNA